rnacentral:lncRNA from 1 species
AUGAACGAGGCCGGCUCUUCCUCACCCCGCUGCUCCCGCGACCGAGCGGGAGGGGGCCGCAGGCGGCGGCGGCUCCUUUCUCGGCGGCGUUGGUGGCCAGACGGGCUGGUGCAGCGACUGCAGCCGACGCCGUUCAAAGGAACGAGAGCAACAGCAUCACGAGUUUCAGUUCCCAGGAGCCCGCCGCCGCCGCCGCCGCUGCCACGACAUGAGUCAGGCUUUCUUCCCCGGCGCGUGGCGGAAACCUCCUCCCCCUCGCCGCACCUGGGCUCGCCCCCGGCCCUCGCCUCCUCGGGGGAUGCCCCAGCGCCGGGAGCUGCGGGGUCUACGGAAGGCCGGUGGCUCCCAGUGAUAGGUGUUGUCUUUUGUGCAGUGCAGUUGCUGCCAUGCGGUCUCCUCGCCCUUCCACGGGCAGGGGCGAGGCAACCGGACAGAUGUUGCAGCUGUUUUCAGUUAACUGCCUUAGCUCCUCUGGGGUAG